rnacentral:RNase_P_RNA from 1 species
GGUAAGAGCACACCGCGACCCUGGCGACAGGGUUGGCAUGGUAAACCCCACCGGGAGCAAAACCGAAUAGGGACGGCACGGGCGGCAACGCCCAGGCGCACUUCCGCGCUGUCGUCCGGGUGGGUUGCGCGAGGUGUCCAGCAAUGGGCAUCCCAGAGGAAUGACCAUCCCCCGGAUACCAUCCACACGUGGGAUAUGGUCCGGCGGACAGAACCCGGCUUACAGACCGUCUGGCCCU